UGUCAUGUCAUGGUACUGGCCCGGGUACGAUUCCCGGUCACUGUAAAUUCAGUUUUACGAAUUGCGAUGAAGAACUCCGCGCUGGAUCUGAUGAUGUGUGGGGUCUCAUCCCUAUUCUCUGAUACAUUCCGACGACGAUAGCAGCAGAUCGGAGCUUGACCUUUCAUUUUUGUUGUUUUAUUUCCGCAUUCGGUAUAUGGAUUUCUGGCAUUGAAUUCUCCCUGCAUGUCGUACAAGCGUUCGGAGAAUUUCCUUCUUCAAUUGUUCCCAAUGGCCGAUGAAUUCUUUCUGAGCUCCGGAGAACAGUGGUCGCUCUCGCAACAUCCUGAGCGGGCAAAUAUGUUGAAUGCAAGCAUUUAUGGCGGGCGGAAAAUGGACUGAUGGCUAACUCAGAGCCAUUCCCACUUUUGUGCUUGAGAACUUCGGCCAAAUAGUGUGUGGAAGAGUGACUUUAUACUCCCAGAAACUGCGGAUCUGAAUUUGAUAGUGUUUGAGAUUAAAAAGCAGCCUGCCCCAUUUGCCUUUAUGUGACGGUUCUCUUGUUCUCCGGUAAUCUUUGAUCUCUUAACAAACUCUUUAUGACAAUUGACCAAAUAAUCAUAAUUAGAUCUUCUCUUUCUAAAUUAUUAGACUUACAAAUUACUCCAAGCUCGUCUUGUAUUCUUUAGGUUGAUUUCCGUUCUAGCUUAUUUUUUAGUAUUGUUUGGAAUGACUUUUAAGUGAAAUGUGAGACAUUAGCUCACUGACAA